rnacentral:rRNA from 1 species
GUCUAUGGCCAUACCACCCUGAAGGUGCCUAAUCUCAUCUGGUCUCAGAAGCUAAGCAGGGUUGAGCCUGGUUGGUGCAUGGACA